rnacentral:rRNA from 1 species
UAUUAUGGAAAAUGUAAAUGUAAAUAUGAAAUGGGUAGUAAUAGAUAAGAUCUUGAAACUCAAAGAGUUUGGCGGUGUUUUAAUCUAUUCAGAGGAAUCUGUUCUGUGAUUGAUAUUACACGAGUGAGUAAAUCUAAUUUUUAUUUGUAUAUCGCCGUCGUUGAUUAUUUUGUUAAAAGGAAUUUAAAAUUUCAGGAAAUAUGUGAGUAUAAAAUGUCAGGUCAAGGUGCAAUGAUAAUUAGGAAGAAAUGGAUUACAAUAAAUUUAAUUAUAUGAAUUAUUUUAAGGGACGAGAUUAUGAAGGUGGAUUUGAAAGUAAAUUGAAUUUGAUUUUUUAAUUGAAGUAAGCUCUAAAACAUGCACACAUCGCCCGUCGCUUUCAUAAUAGGUGAA